rnacentral:rRNA from 1 species
AGACCACCAGCUAAGGUCCCAAAAUAUAUGUUAAGUGGAAAAGGAUGUGGCGUUGCCCAGACAACUAGGAUGUUGGCUUAGAAGCAGCCAUCAUUUAAAGAGUGCGUAAUAGCUCACUAGUCGAGUGACACUGCGCCGAAAAUGUACCGGGGCUAAACAUAUUACCGAAGCUGUGGAUUGUCCUUUGGACAAUGGUAGGAGAGCGUUCUAAGGGCGUUGAAGCAUGAUCGUAAGGACAUGUGGAGCGCUUAGAAGUGAGAAUGCCGGUGUGAGUAGCGAAAGACGGGUGAGAAUCCCGUCCACCGAUUGACUAAGGUUUCCAGAGGAAGGCUCGUCCGCUCUGGGUUAGUCGGGUCCUAAGCUGAGGCCGACAGGCGUAGGCGAUGGAUAACAGGUUGAUAUUCCUGUACCACCUAUAAUCGUUUUAAUCGAUGGGGGGACGCAGUAGGAUAGGCGAAGCGUGCGAUUGGAUUGCACGUCUAAGCAGUAAGGCUGAGUAUUAGGCAAAUCCGGUACUCGUUAAGGCUGAGCUGUGAUGGGGAGAAGACAUUGUGUCUUCGAGUCGUUGAUUUCACACUGCCGAGAAAAGCCUCUAGAUAGAAAAUAGGUGCCCGUACCGCAAACCGACACAGGUAGUCAAGAUGAGAAUUCUAAGGUGAGCGAGCGAACUCUCGUUAAGGAACUCGGCAAAAUGACCCCGUAACUUCGGGAGAAGGGGUGCUCUUUAGGGUUAACGCCCAGAAGAGCCGCAGUGAAUAGGCCCAAGCGACUGUUUAUCAAAAACACAGGUCUCUGCUAAACCGUAAGGUGAUGUAUAGGGGCUGACGCCUGCCCGGUGCUGGAAGGUU